rnacentral:siRNA from 1 species
GGGCUGACCACGGGUUGC